rnacentral:tRNA from 2 species
GCUUCCUUGGCAGAGCGGAUAUGCACCGGCCUUUUAAGCCGAGAGAUGCGGGUUCAACCCCCGUGGGGAGCACUA